rnacentral:piRNA from 1 species
GGGAAAAAAAAGGAAGGA